rnacentral:ncRNA from 1 species
UCCAAACUUUAGGGGUGUCUGUUCAAAUGAACAGGCUGAGACUUUACCCUUUGAACCUGAUUUCUAGACAAUACUAGCGUAGGGAAAAGUGAGAUGACUUUG